UACGGGGGGGGCAAGCGUUGUUCGGAAUUACUGGGCGUAAAGGGCUCGUAGGCGGCCAACUAAGUCAGACGUGAAAUCCCUCGGCUUAACCGGGGAACUGCGUCUGAUACUGGAUGGCUUGAGGUUGGGAGAGGGAUGCGGAAUUCCAGGUGUAGCGGUGAAAUGCGUAGAUAUCGUUUGGAACGCCAACGGUGAAAACAGACAGCUGGGAGUGUGCUGACGCUGAGACACGAAAGCCAGGGGAGCGAACGGG
rnacentral:rRNA from 1 species